rnacentral:rRNA from 1 species
GAUGAACGCUGGCGGCGUGCCUAAUACAUGCAAGUCGAGCGGUAAGGCUCCUUCGGGAGUACACGAGCGGCGGACGGGUGAGUAACGCGUAAGAAUGUACCCCAAACUGAGGGAUAAGCACCAGAAAUGGUGUCUAAUACCGCAUGUGCUCUUCGGAGUAAAGCUACGGCGGUUUGGGAACAGCUUGCGUAGGAUUAGCUAGUUGGUAGGGUAAUGGCCUACCAAGGCGACGAUCCUUAGCUGGUCUGAGAGGAUGAUCAGCCACACUGGGACUGAGACACGGCCCAGACUCCUACGGGAGGCAGCAGUAGGGAAUUUUCCACAAUGGGGGCAACCCUGAUGGAGCAACGCCGCGUGAUGGAUGAAGGCCUUCGGGUUGUAAACAUCUUUUCUCUGUGACGAAUAUGACGGUAGCAGAGGAAUAAGGAUCGGCUAACUACGUGCCAGCCGCCGCAGUAA